UGCAGGUGUUUCNGUGUGACCUCACCCUAGC
rnacentral:piRNA from 1 species